GGUCACCCGAGCUGGAGUGUUCAUAUGGGAAAAUUUUCAUCCCGGUUACCGAGAUCUUGGUCGCAAAGACCGAGGUAUCGGUAACUGGGCCAGCCCGGCUUCUCAUAUGAACAUAUCGAAAUUUUAAUGAAGGAAAGAGUUGCGAAGCGAGAUCUUGGAAACCGAGCCAGCCCGGUUGACCGGGCUCAUAUGCAGAGGCUGUGUUCGCCUAUAAAAUGGACUAUACGGCCGGAGAAUCUCAGCUUCUGUAACAAACAACGACAAGGAGUAUUUUUAUUCCUUUCUGGUUAAAAUGCUAAUCUAAAAAAGCUGAAAAAAGCUGAAAAUACAUAGCGUUGUACGUGUCCUUCAUAAUUAUAAUAAAACAAAAUGAUGAAGUAACUGUUACAGCUGAUCUUCCUUGUCUCGUAUUGAUGCCCGAGGUUCCAUAACUAAAAUCAACUUUGGAAAUCGUCUUGAAAAUCGCCAAAAGAAUUUAAUUGAGGCUUCACAUAAAGUGACCAACAUCCAACCAGAAACGCUGCGCGAAGACACUCAGAAAUUAAAGCGCUCGACUCUUGCGCUGAAAGCUUGGAAACUAUGACGAAACUUGCACAUGCCUAACCAAGCAUUAUAGAGCAAGUCCUAGCCUUCAACGGAAAGUGCAGCCUAUGACGUCACGAAACUCAAUUAUACAUCAUAAUCAUUCCUUAGUAACCGACUAACGAGCGUUAAAAACGUUCUUAUUGCAGUUAAAAACGCUGUUUCUCUCACUCUUGCGACGGUCCAUACCGAAAAGUUUUAAAAUGGGAUGAAAUGUUUAAUGUAGUUCGCAACAUCGUGUACCGUCUGCCAUGGGUGACGUCACACUCGCCUGCAUUUGGCCAGUGGUAAUCUUAUGGCGGUAAAUUCGUGAGGGCGACCAUGUUGGCAUCUUUAUCGUCUUUUUACGACAAUAUUCGCUCUUAUUCUCUCUCUGGAAGGAAACCAGGAGACAAACGUCGAAGAGAAAGGGAGGACGAUGUUGUUAUAACUGAUGUUCUUCAGACACCACCAGCAAAGAGGUUAAGGAAUAUUGAGGGAGGUGAGUUUUGACAGCAUGCAUGUUACAGUAGAUACAAGUGAUGUGGCUAAGAGCUGGUGGGUUACUGCUUAAUUUCCCUGGCUGAAUGAGAGUUCAUCUCUGGCUAAGAUUUCAUGUGAAAACAAAGUACUGUAGUGGGCAAUUUUUGAGGUCACAGCACAGUCUAACAAUGCUGAGAGUGGCUGGUAAAUUAUUAUUGAUUAGUCAUGAGCAUGCUGUAGUUUUUCUCAGCUACAGUACAUCUCUGGCAUACGUGUCAAGGCCCUACAGUUUAAGGGGCUCAAUAAGGAUC